CCUACGGGUGACAGCAGUGGGGAAUAUUGCUCAAUGGGCGAAAGCCUGACGCAGCGACGCCGCGUGAGGGAUGAAGGUCUUCGGAUCGUAAACCUCUGUCAGCAGGGAAGAACGGUCACUGUGCUAAUCAGCAGUGACUUGACGGUUCCUGCACAGGAAGCACCGGCUAACUCCGUGCCCGCACCCGCGGUAAUACGGAGGGUGCGAGCGUUCGUCGGAAUUACUGGGCGUAAAGCGCUCGUAGGCGGUAUGUCAAGUCAAGGGUGAAAUCCCCGGGCUUAACGUGGGAACUGCGUUUGAAACUGGUAAACUGGAGUGUGUGAGAGGAUAGUGGAAUUCCAGGUGUAGGAGUGAAAUCCGUAGAGAUCUGGAGGAAUAUCAGUGGCGAAGGCGACUAGCUGGAACAUAACUGACGCUGAGGAGCGAAAGCGUGGGUAGCAAACAGGAUUAGAUACCCUAGUAGUC
rnacentral:rRNA from 1 species